GCAAGUCGAACGGUACAGGUCUUCGGAUGCUGACGAGUGGCGAACGGGUGAGUAAUACAUCGGAACGUGCCCGAUCGUGGGGGAUAACGGAGCGAAAGCUUUGCUAAUACCGCAUACGAUCUACGGAUGAAAGCAGGGGACCGCAAGGCCUUGCGCGGACGGAGCGGCCGAUGGCAGAUUAGGUAGUUGGUGGGAUAAAAGCUUACCAAGCCGACGAUCUGUAGCUGGUCUGAGAGGACGACCAGCCACACUGGGACUGAGACACGGCCCAGACUCCUACGGGAGGCAGCAGUGGGGAAUUUUGGACAAUGGGCGAAAGCCUGAUCCAGCCAUGCCGCGUGCAGGAUGAAGGCCUUUGGGUUGUAAACUGCUUUUGUACGGAACGAAAAGACUCCUUCUAAUAAAGGGGGUCCAUGACGGUACCGUAAGAAUAAGCACCGGCUAACUACGUGCCAGCAGCCGCGGUAAUACGUAGGGUGCAAGCGUUAAUCGGAAUUACUGGGCGUAAAGCGUGCGCAGGCGGUUAUAUAAGACAGAUGUGAAAUCCCCGGGCUCAACCUGGGAACUGCAUUUGUGACUGUAUAGCUAGAGUACGGUAGAGGGGGAUGGAAUUCCGCGUGUAGCAGUGAAAUGCGU
rnacentral:rRNA from 1 species